UAGAUAAGACCAACAUUAUUAUAGUUCAGCCCUCUCUGCUUUGCUUGGGUACGCCCUCAAAGACGAGGGUGGGGUGGGGAGUGCCGAGUCAGAAGAGAGCUAAAAUGGCGGAGGUUGGGAGUCCCUGCUUUGACUCUGUUUGCAAACUCUUGUUUCAUUGUUUAAGCGAUUAAAUCUCUCGAGUAGACGCUGUCUCUUUAGAUGCGAGGGCAAAAUAGCACUUUAUGGACUUCCACAGAGGACAUCAUGUUUAAUACGGUUCCGGAAAAAUCCAGUCAGAAGUUGUUCACGGAGUUUUCACAAUAGGCUAACUGCUUCUCAUGAACCGAAGCUGGAUUUGCGCGACGUCUCCUCUUGAAAGUUGGAUUACUGUGCACUUCUGGAUCACAGACUAUUCGCAGCUGUACACAUCCUUCUACACUGUAUGCAAACAUGCAACAUCAUUACACACAGUACAAGGAGUAAGACUGGCAUAUGAGGAGCAAAGGAACCCAGGCAGUAGCAUCGUUUAACAAUGUUUCCAUCAUCAUCAUCAGUGGAUGCCUUUGCCGUCCGUAGCCUGAGAUUUCAGAUUUGCAGCAAAAAAUAUUGAUUUUCUCAUUUAUUGGAAUGCUGUGCAGGUAUUUGUACCUUGCAGCCAUCCAUUACAAUGUCACCAAGCCGUAACAAAAGCAGGAGAGGGAAAGUACAAGGCUAUGUUCCCAAAACACAAAUGACAUACCUUAUGUGGAGGAUGUGAUCAGGCUUGUGUUUGAUGAGGUAUUUGAAGAUAAGCUGAAGGAAACCCCGAUUCCAAUGGACCUGGCAUCACAGUUUGAGAGACCUUCAAAGGAGGACGUGAUUGGAUGCCAUCUUCAGUGCAGGGGUCGUCGAAAGCCAAAAUUGUGACCGAUCUGAUCAGGAAGCUCCAAGCGUAUCUGGAGAACAACACACGACAGGAUGAUAACCUUAUAGUGUCGUCUUAGAUAGCACCAGCUGACAAAGCUUUGAUAUGCCAUUUAUCU